rnacentral:rRNA from 1 species
AAAAGGUUAGUAGUUAAUAGCUGCUAGCUGUGACGUUACUGACAGAAGAAGCACCGGCUAACUCCGUGCCAGCAGCCGCGGUAAUACGGAGGGUGCGAGCGUUAAUCGGAAUUACUGGGCGUAAAGCGUACGCAGGCGGUUUGUUAAGCGAGAUGUGAAAGCCCCGGGCUCAACCUGGGAACUGCAUUUCGAACUGGCAGACUAGAGUGUGAUAGAGGGUGGUAGAAUUUCAGGUGUAGCGGUGAAAUGCGUAGAGAUCUGAAGGAAUACCGAUGGCGAAGGCAGCCACCUGGGUCAACACUGACGCUCAUGUACGAAAGCGUGGGGAGCAAACGGGAUUAGAUACCCCGGUAGUCCACGCCGUAAACGAUGUCUACUAGAAGCUGGGGUCUUCGGACAACUUUUUCAAAGCUAACGCAUUAAGUAGACCGCCUGGGGAGUACGGCCGCAAGGUUAAAACUCAAAUGAAUUGACGGGGGCCCGCACAAGCGGUGGAGCAUGUGGUUUAAUUCGAUGCAACGCGAAGAACCUUACCUACACUUGACAUACAGAGAACUUACCAGAGAUAGUUUGGUGCCUUCGGGAACUCUGAUACAGGUGCUGCAUGGCUGUCGUCAGCUCGUGUUGUGAGAUGUUGGGUUAAGUCCCGCAACGAGCGCAACCCCUAUCCUUAGUUGCCAGCACAUAAUGGUGGGAACUCUAAGGAGACUGCCGGUGAUAAACCGGAGGAAGGUGGGGACGACGUCAAGUCAUCAUGGCCCUUACGUGUAGGGCUACACACGUGCUACAAUGGCGCAUACAGAGUGCUGCGAGCCUGCGAAGGUUAGCGAAUCACUUAAAGUGCGUCGUAGUCCGGAUUGGAGUCUGCAACUCGACUCCAUGAAGUCGGAAUCGCUAGUAAUCGCGGAUCAGAAUGCCGCGGUGAAUACGUUCCCGGGCCUUGUACACACCGCCCGUCACACCAUGGGAGUGGGUUGCUCCAGAAGUAGGUAGCUUAACCUUAGGGAGGGCGCUAC